rnacentral:rRNA from 1 species
UAAUGAGAGUUUGAUCCUGGCUCAGGAUGAACGCUGGCGGCGUGCUUAACACAUGCAAGUCGAACGAAGCACCGAUGUGGAAGUCUUCGGAUGGAAAUAACGGUGACUUAGUGGCGGACGGGUGAGUAACGCGUGGGUAACCUGCCUCACACAGGGGGAUAACAGCCAGAAAUGGCUGCUAAUACCGCAUGAAAUGGCAUUCUCGCAUGAGGAAACCAUCAAAGAUUUAUCGGUGUGAGAUGGACCCGCGUCUGAUUAGCUGGUUGGUGGGGUAACGGUCCACCAAGGCGACGAUCAGUAGCCGACCUGAGAGGGUGACCGGCCACAUUGGGACUGAGACACGGCCCAAACUCCUACGGGAGGCAGCAGUGGGG